rnacentral:rRNA from 1 species
GACUAUCAGGUUGAUAGGCUAGAGGUGUAAGAAGAGUGAUCUUUUCAGCUGACUAGUACUAAUAGACCCAUUGACUUUGAGUUUUUUAAAUACCAACGUU